GUUUGAUCCUGGCUCAGAAUCAACGCUGGCGGCGAGCCUAACACAUGCAAGUCGAACGCGAAAGUCCCGCAAGGGAUGAGUAGAGUGGCAAACGGGUGAGUAACACGUGGGUGACCUGCCUUCGAGCGGGGGAUAACGUCCCGAAAGGGACGCUAAUACCGCAUAACAUCCUGCCUUUGAAGAGGCGGUGAUCAAAGCUGGGGAUCGCAAGACCUAGCACUCGAAGAGGGGCCCGCGUCCGAUUAGCUAGUUGGUGAGGUAACGGCUCACCAAGGCAACGAUCGGUAGCCGGCCUGAGAGGGCGGACGGCCACACUGGGACUGAGACACGGCCCAGACUCCUACGGGAGGCAGCAGUGGGGAAUUGUUCGCAAUGGGCGCAAGCCUGACGACGCAACGCCGCGUGGAGGAUGAAGAUCUUCGGGUCGUAAACUCCUUUCGAUCGAGACGAAUUCCUCCGGGGUGAACAAUCCCGGAGGUUGACGGUACCGAGAGAAGAAGCCCCGGCUAACUCCGUGCCAGCAGCCGCGGUAAUACGGGGGGGGCAAGCGUUGUUCGGAAUUACUGGGCGUAAAGGGCUCGUAGGUGGCCAACUAAGUCGGACGUGAAAUCCCUCGGCUUAACCGGGGAACUGCGUCCGAUACUGGUUGGCUUGAGUUUGGGAGAGGGAUGCGGAAUUCCAGGUGUAGCGGUGAAAUGCGUAGAUAUCUGGAGGAACACCGGUGGCGAAGGCGGCAUCCUGGACCAACACUGACGCUGAGGAGCGAAAGCCAGGGGAGCAAACGGGAUUAGAUACCCCGGUAGUCCUGGCCCUAAACGAUGAAUGCUUGGUGUGGCGGGUAUCGAUCCCUGCCGUGCCGAAGCUAACGCAUUAAGCAUUCCGCCUGGGGAGUACGGUCGCAAGGCUGAAACUCAAAUGAAUUGACGG
rnacentral:rRNA from 1 species